rnacentral:rRNA from 1 species
UACGGAGGGUGCGAGCGUUAAUCGGAAUUACUGGGCGUAAAGCGCGCGUAGGCGGUUUGACAAGUCGGAUGUGAAAGCCCCGGGCUCAACCUGGGAAUGGCAUUCGAUACUGUCAGGCUAGAGUAUGGUAGAGGAAAGUGGAAUUCCACAUGUAGCGGUGAAAUGCGUAGAUAUGUGGAGGAACACCAGUGGCGAAGGCGACUUUCUGGACCAAUACUGACGCUGAGGUGCGAAAGCGUGGGGAGCAAACAGG